GACGAACGCUGGCGGCGUGCCUAAUACAUGCAAGUAGAACGCACAGUUUAUACCGUAGCUUGCUACACCAUAAACUGUGAGUUGCGAACGGGUGAGUAACGCGUAGGUAACCUGCCUGGUAGCGGGGGAUAACUAUUGGAAACGAUAGCUAAUACCGCAUAAUAUUGAUUAUUGCAUGAUAAUUGAUUGAAAGAUGCUAUUGCAUCACUACCAGAUGGACCUGCGUUGUAUUAGCUAGUAGGUGAGGUAACGGCUCACCUAGGCGACGAUACAUAGCCGACCUGAGAGGGUGAUCGGCCACACUGGGACUGAGACGCGGCCCAGACUCCUACGGGAGGCAGCAGUAGGGAAUCUUCGGCAAUGGACGAAAGUCUGACCGAGCAACGCCGCGUGAGUGAAGAAGGUUUUCGGAUCGUAAAGCUCUGUUGUAAGAGAAGAACGGGUGUGAGAGUGGAAAGUUCACACUGUGACGGUAUCUUACCAGAAAGGGACGGCUAACUACGUG
rnacentral:rRNA from 1 species